rnacentral:rRNA from 1 species
UUGAACGCUGGCGGCAUGCCUUACACAUGCAAGUCGAACGGUAGAGGGGCAACCCUUGAGAGUGGCGAACGGGUGAGUAAUAUAUCGGAACGUGCCCAGUCGUGGGGGAUAACGCAGCGAAAGCUGCGCUAAUACCGCAUACGAUCUAUGGAUGAAAGCGGGGGAUCGCAAGACCUCGCGCGAUUGGAGCGGCCGAUAUCAGGUUAGGUAGUUGGUGGGGUAAAA